CAGCAUUUCUGGUGGGCUGGAAGCUACAUGUGGGCCUUGGGCCAUUUUCAGGUGUGUCACAGUGUCAUGGCCUACUCUUCAGGGUCUCCUCAACCUGUUCCACUUCCCAGCCACCCCACAGCCUUUUUGUUGGAGCAAUGCCAGCACCAGCAACUCCUUGGAUGCUAAGUAAAGGAAGGUGGGAGCCAGAGAAGUUGGUGGAGGGUUAGGGAUGGGGGGAAAGGUCUCCUUCCUCUGAAGAAAAAUGUCCAGAGGAGAUAUUGAAGAAAACUAGGGGGAAAUGUUAAUAUUUGAUACCAUCAUUAUUAAGUUGUGGGUGGACAUAGCAGACGACACAGAGAUUUCUCCAAGUGGUUCUUUAUAGUAAGCUGGAACUGAACUGAACUGAACAGCUCAGCCGGCCUGCUUUUAUAGGCAGCCGGCUGUCAACAUUGUAACAGCAACACCUCAGGGUUUCCCGUCUAAUUAACUGAAGUGGACCUGAGUGAAAACUAUAUACACAAUGCCCCUGGUGGCCAGGGUUAGAACUUCAAUACAUAACAAUCAUCAUCAAUAAAUCAGCUGGAAACAGAAGAGAAGUGAGGAAGGUUGUAACAGGAGGAAGAAAUGAAGAUAAAAGGACAAGAGAGGAUGGAUGAAAGAAACUAGAAGUUUGGGUGUGGUGGUGGAAUAAGAUACAAGUUAAGUGUGAAAAGAGGGGGGGGGAGAAAUUUCAGGAGACAAGAGAAAAUACUUUGAUAGACAUGUGGGCGUAGGAAGCGAGAAAUAGAAAAUAAAAAUCCUUUUUCCAUUUCAGAUCCUUCUAAAUCAGCAAGUUCUGCCUAAAAUGGGCAGGCUGAAUCACAUUCCCUCCAGAGCAAAUGCCUCUAUUUAACCUGAGGAAAGCUGAGCUACGCAUAGAACUCCUUACCACAAGGAAGAUUUUGGAAUUUCCAACAAUGGAGCGGUGUCUGUAAUUUCCAUCUGGUUAUGUGAAACUCGGCCUACAUCCGCCGCCAUUUUGUGACCAGCUCUGUCCCUGCAACGCCAUUUUGUGAUUGCUGAGCCUCAAUCACUUUCAGUCAUUUCAAGGGCCUGGGAGCAGUACGUUUGAGAAUCCCCGUGUUAGUGUAUAAAGAACUAAAAGGCCAGGACAAGGUUAGCUGGAGGGCUGCCUUGUACUUUAUUCACUGGCCAGAUCACUGUGAUACUCUAGCCCUCUUGAUUUCCCCCACAGAUAUACUGUAUCUUAUUCAUUUAGUGUCUACAUGAACUACUAAGGCUUUUAGUGUUGCGGCACCAGUCUUUUGGAACACUGCUACAAUUGCCCACUAACAACUGCAGUAUUUCAUCACCUGCUGAAAACCAAGCUUUUUUAGAGAUUUGAAUUUUUUUUAACAUUGGUCAUUUGUUCUGAAUUUUAUGAUUUUACAAUUUCAUGGUGCUUUGAUAAUUUCACUGCACGCUGCACCAUACAAUUAGCAAUUCAUGACUAUUCUUAAGAAUAAAAUAAAAUGCAGAUUUUGGCACAUAGAAUUCUGCUUUUUCCAUUGCCUCCCCCCCCAUCCGCUCCCACCAGUUAUCAGUUAUUUGUGGUGCACUGCACCACAAAUGUUGUUUGUUUGUUUUUUGACACUUUGCAAAGCUUCAGAAGCGACUUGUCAACAUUCGCAGCAGGACCUCUGCUCAUUUGCCUCUAAUGCGGUAAAUAACUGUUAUAAAAAGGAACAGCAACACCCCCGAAGUGUGGGCCUCCGGUUGUGACCCUAAUCGAGAAAAUGUAACUCAUUAUAGUACUCAAGGGCCAGACACCUCAAGGAGCUGAUUUUUGCCUGGAAAGAAAGGGUAGCAAAUUGCUAGUUAUUUAAUUUGCCGUCAUUUUAUUUUCUUCUUCCAGGGAGAGGUACUUGUGGGAUUUUCUGCCUCAGGUGCCAAUAUAACUUGGUUGGCUUUCAGAAUGAUGCACCUUGCCACAGUGGUGGCCUCAGGGGUUUGUGUGUGUGUGUGUGUGUGUGUGUGUGUGUGUGUGUACCAUUUGCUGCUUCACCUCAGGCAACAAAAUGACCUGGACAAAGCCUGACCAAGAAUGAGGUGCUGUUUAAGAACUUGCCAUUCAUGUUUUGCCAUUAAAACAAAUAUAUGGGUUUCAAAGUGGGGAACUUGUGGCCCUCCCAAGCUGUUGGAAUCCAACUCAAACCAGCUGCCCCCAGCUUACAUGGCAC
rnacentral:lncRNA from 1 species